AAUUGCUUAUCGGUCACGCAGUUCAACUUCACGAAUUAUCGGCACCAGCACAGACAUAUUUUAGAUUUGUGGAGAAAUCUAUCCAUCUGGCUUACAUAUAUAUUCACAGUAUUGUGUUUCUUAAUGGCGAUCGGUAUGGCAAUAUAUCCGUUGGCAUUCAGUAACACGUUUACAGUGAUGAAAAAUCAUGACGUGUCGUCCAGCACAUAUGGCCAAAACGUUCUAAAUUUGUAUUUACUCUUCCUUGAAGAAACAUACAACACAUGCUUCAAUGUAUUUUACAUCAUCGAAAUAUUUUGCAAUACCGUUAUAUUGAUUUGCAUUGUUAUUUUUGAUACCAUUUUGAUUACGCUAUGCUUAGCACUAACCUGUCAGUUUCAAAUUAUUUGCAGCUCGUUCGAAUUGGUCGGACAUAAAUCAUAUCACUCCUCAAAUAAUUGCACUGAUAACGUGGUCAGGAAAUUACGUACUAAUAAAUAUAAUUUUAAUGUUUACAAAUUUACAAUGACUUAUUAACAACUAUAAUAGACCAUCAAAAAGUUAUGAAGAAAUAUGAUGAAUUUUUAAUAUUUCGAACGAUAAAUUUACUAGAAUUGUGGAGUGUAUCCAGUUCAAUCAU